AUUGAACGCUAGCGGGAUGCUUUACACAUGCAAGUCGAACGGCAGCGCGGACUUCGGUCUGGCGGCGAGUGGCGAACGGGUGAGUAAUGUAUCGGAACGUGCCCAGUCGCGGGGGAUAACUACGCGAAAGCGUAGCUAAUACCGCAUACGCCCUACGGGGGAAAGCAGUGGAUCGUAAGACCUUGCACUAUUGGAUAGGCCGAUAUCGGAUUAGCUAGUUGGUGAGGUAACGGCUCACCAAGGCGACGAUCCGUAGCUGGUUUGAGAGGACGACCAGCCACACUGGGACUGAGACACGGCCCAGACUCCUACGGGAGGCAGCAGUGGGGAAUCUUGGACAAUGGGGGCAACCCUGAUCCAGCCAUCCCGCGUGUGCGAUGAAGGUCUUCGGGUUGUAAAGCACUGUUAGCAGGAAAGAAACGUCGCGGAAGAAUACCCCGUGGAACUGACGGUACCUGAAGAAUAAGCACCGGCUAACUACGUG
rnacentral:rRNA from 1 species